AUAUUCCCCAAUGAUGUCGUCCUCUUCUAUUACGGUUAAAUUGUUUCAGCCUCCCACUCUUCUUUCUUUCCUCCGUAUAGGCCGGGUACCACAGCUCUCUCAUUCUCUGCUCUAUGCUCUCCUUUGUCUCAUUCCUCACUCUCACACUCAGUCCAUCUGUUGCUCUCAGUUCACUCAACAAAUCUUUCACCCACCUACAGCUACUUGUCUCUCCUUUAUCAUCUCCUCUCCCACCCUUCUCACCAAAUCAUUUUCUCAUCCUAUACGUUCCUUCUUCACAAUAUCUCAAAAUAAAUGGGUUGCUUUCUAUCCUGCUUCCCUCAGUAAAUCUUAGCUGCCUGUGUAUCUUUAAUUACCUAGGCCAUUUUUCCUAAUGUGUUCCCCUAAACUAGUUCUAAUCACAGCCGUCAUUAACAUAUGGGUUCACCUCACCCCAGAUUCCCUUUACUCCUUGGGUUCACCUCACCCCAGAUUCCCUUUACUCCUUGGGUUCACCUCACCCCAGGAUUCCCUCUACUCCUUGGGUUCACCUCACCCCAGAUUCCCUUUACUCCUUGGGUUCACCUCACCCCAGGAUUCCCUCUACUCCUUGGGUUCACCUCACCCCAGGAUUCCCUUUACUCCUUGGGUUCACCUCACCCCAGGAUUCCCUUUACUCCUUGGGUUCACCUCACCCCAGGAUUCCCUUUACUCCUUGGGUUCACCUCACCCCAGGAUUCCCUCUACUCCUUGGGUUCACCUCACCCCAGGAUUCCCUCUACUCCUUGGGUUCACCUCACCCCAGGAUUCCCUCUACUCCUAUGGCGGGAAAUACGGUAAUCAGUAAAAUAAAAUUAGUAAAACACAACAACCCUUUAUAUGCCACUGCCUUCAUAUCACCAAGGAAAAAGAAGCCCUUGGGGUUACCUAAUAUUCAAAUCAUGGUUCAGGUAAUAGUAUUUUAAUCAAUCAACAUAACAUAACAUACACACUAACACACAGGGCAGAGGAAGCAAUGAAUCACUACCUCUGCCAAGGCAGUUUUUGAAAUAUUAACAUUUACUACAGUGGUUCCCAACACAUGGUCAUACCCGACAUGAGGGUUGCGAGUGUUUUUGAAGGUUGCUGGAGGGUCGUCGAAAAAAGCCAUAAUUAUAACUGUAUUGUACUAUAAAGGCUGAUAUCAAAAUUACAGUUAGGUCAAAUUUUGAUUUUUCAGUAAUAUAGUUGAAUUACUGCAGUAGGACAGCAUGAAGAUUCCCCUAACCACAUACUAACAAAAGCAGCAUUGUAAUAAAGCACCCAUACACAUACAAUACUCCGUACGAAUGGCAUUCACGUAUGAUAUUCGUUCACCAAGCAGACACCGAGUAGGCGGAGGAAAAAAUCACAAAUAUCUGAGAGUAUGACAUAAAUAAUCAGAAAUAAAUACUACAUGUUUACGCAUAUGGGGUCGCCAGGCCAGGGCAAGACUGUAUUUACUGCCGCAACCAGAAAAGUUUGGGAACCACUGACUUACUAACUAUUGCAUUGGGUGGAAGUGUUCAAGUCUAGAUAUACAUACUGAUGAGGGAAGGUGAAAGAGAGAGAGAGAGAGAGAGAGAGAGAGAGAGAGAGAGAGAGAGAGAGAGAGAGAGAGAGAGAGAGAGAGAGAGAGAGAGAGAGAGAGAGAGAGAGAGAGAGAGAGAGAGAGAGAGAGAGAGAGAGAGAGAGAGAGAAUCAAUAGUAGAGAAAGAUAAGGAAGAGAGGAAAAGGAAAGAUGAAAAGAAACAAAGUGAGGAAAAAAUAAAAAGUGGAGAAUAAAAGAAGAGGAAAAAACAGGGAAUAGAAGAAAAUAAAAGAGAAACAGGAAAUAAGAUAAGAGAGAAAUAAAAGAAAUUGAGAGAAAAAAUCACACCAAAAAUCAUCAAACAAAAAAAAUUACAGCCUAUAUAUAUAUAUAUACAUACCAACCUUUAAUUAAUUUUACUUUACAAAUUAGUAUUCACAAUUAUUGACGUUUACAAUUUCCAUAUGAGCAUUAAGGUACAGAGACAGAACCCAACAGUAGUAAGGGUCCAAUUCUGUACAUCACAUAUACCUUAACACACACACACACACACACACACACACACACACACACAACUAUAUAGAUAAUUAUGUGAAACUGACCUUGAUUUAGAGUUACAGAGAAGGGUAGAGUUGACAAGGAGGAUAGAAGGCAACAAACAAAAAGGAGAAAGUAAAACAAAAAUGCAUGUUUGUUACCUACACACACACACACACACACACACCAGGCUGGGAACACCUCCGAGUGGCCUCCAUCCCCCAUGCAGCACCCUGACCUUCAGACCAGAGUGUACUUCCUUCAACGUAAUAUCAACUAGAGUAGAAAUGCAAAGUUUUGGAGUCUUCUGAUUAAUGUAAAAUCACUUAGGUUUAAGGACAGACCACCAAGUCUGGACCAUGGGGUCUGUGUGGUCUGAUUUUCUAUGUAAAUCUAUGUAAAUAUAUUAAGACACGAAGGAAUAGUCAAUGUGGCUACAGUUCAUGGAAAGUCUCAUGAUAUAUAUUCUAAGCAUUAUUUUUUUAUAUCUGGAAUUUGCACAGGGAUCUGUAAGGAAGGAGGGAAUUUGUUGAGAUAGAGCUAGUGCACUAAGGCUCCACACCAUGAGGGAGCAGCACACAGAGCAAGGGUGCCGGCACAUGGGACACUUUCAGAGGCCCGUGCCUGCCACUACAAGCAGUAGGCAUCAAAAUACUGGCAAACAUUAUCAUCUUGUCCCUGCACAUGAGGCACUUUUCUGGUGGCCACUGAUCAAUUUUCUAAUAUUGUUACCAAAGACUCUGAGUAAUGUAACGGGUACACCCCUGAAGCCUUACCCUGACUAUUAUGCUACUUCAGGAUGACUGAAGAAACAUUAAAUAAUCUGAUUACAAUAAUUAAACCUAAGAUAUCACAUCAGAUGCAAACAUAACGAUAUGUGUGCCAACUGAAAAAGGCAAUCAGUGACCUUAAGGUUACAAUUAAAAUUCCAAUCAUCCACCUUCCAUGAGCCAUCAUGACAGAAACAGUAUGCCUGACUCCUCUUCCAAUCAGUCACCUAAUGAACAAAAAGUGGGAGUCUCGGCCACAAAAAGUGUGUCGUGUGCACGCUGUGAUUUGAAACAGAGGUUUCUAUCGCCAGCCACUGGUGGUGAGCCUCUGUGCUGUGGACGAGAAAAUGGACUCAGCAUCUACUUUGUAACCACUCUUUUGGCAGCGUCCACAAACAGUGGCUCGUGUGCGACCUUCCACACAAACAUGUGUGUUUCAUUUAUCCAUUUGUAGUGGCAGCUGCCGGCCAAUAAAAUGUGUCUUCUGUGCAGACAGCCUAAGGUACAGACACACUGGGGGUGAUAAGCCAUGAUGGCAUCAGCUCAAGUUGCAAGAGCUAAUUUUCUGUGCCAUUUUUCUCAGCCAGUGUUGGUCUGUGUGCUGGGGCAGUGAAGCCUGGCGGAGGUGUUCUGAGGGUGGUGUCAGGCUGGGCUGUGUUAGUUACAAUGGGAUGUACAGUACUGGCCUCUGUGACCACCAUAAUGGCAGACAAUUUGUAUGCUUUGUGUGGUCACACAGAGUAAAAUACACAAUUAUUAAUAACAACUUGGUGUGCUCCCUGAUGUCAUCCGGCUGACUGGGCUGUGGUGCAGCCACGGGCCCACUCAGCGCCACCAAGUGUGCUGCAGGACAGUGGUGCAGCACAGGGGUGUACAGCCAUGAGGCUUGGCUGUGACCAGUGGUGCUUCAGAGGUAGGAGGGGAGGGGAUGAGUCACCCACUGCCACCACCACAACCACCACCUCCACCUCCACCCUGCAGUCCCAAGGGAAGGGAGGAAUUCAGCCUUGAUGGGUAACCAGAAGCUUUGGAUAAGUGUGAGGGACUAUAUCCUUUCAAGAUCAACAGAGCAUCACACCAAGCAGUUUCUCAUCUAACAUGUAUAGGGCCCAAUAAAUUCCAUAUAAAAAUAAUCAGUUAACUUUUAGUCAUUUUUUGAAAGAAUACAUGAUGGGCCUGGCAUUCCCCUUACAAAAACAGGCCAGAGUGCCAGCAGCCAAGUGGGCACAAAACUUGCCCCGGGUGUGUUGGUUGAUCACAGCCAGGUGUGGGCCGCUGAGCCUCGCCCUCCCCCAGUCAGGCCAAGUGUGCAUGCCCACCACACCCACACCCAGACACACACCCUUGUUUUGUAUGCAUGUUCUGUACAGUCUUUACAAAAAGUAUCAAGUAGUAUUUGAGUGAAAACUAAAGACAUUGUGUUGUGUUGGUUUGUUUGGUACCAAUGGGUUGGUACCCAAAACAGUUGUGUUGUUUAGGUUUCACUCAAAUUUGAUGUUCAGUAUUUUUUUGACAACUGUACCCCCACCAGUUUUGUAAGCACUUUCCAAUUGGUACUCACGUCAGGGAAUAAAGACUCGGGAUAACUGAACAAGACUAAAAAUAUAUUCAAAAUAGAGAUUCUCAAACUGUAUCUAUGUAACAGAGAUGAGCUCGCAUCUGAAGUGCAUGCCUCCAACUUUACUUUUAUGAAACUGACCCUCAGAGAAUAUUCAGACAAGAAGGCGUGGCAGACCUGGCUGCCUGAACCUGUGCUUGGUGGCAGCAGCUCCAGCCCAGAGUGCACCAAGAACACAGUGUUGCAGCACUGGGAAAAUAACACAGCUGCCGCCAGGAAAACAACACUCAUGCACUAGAGAUAAAUUUUCCCAGAGUAUUUCCUCCCCUGACAUAAGCAACAAUGGUGAGGGUGCACAGGCCGGUGAACAUCUCACCCUCACGUGUGUACAAAAAUAAGGCUGCGUCGCCUCACAGCCGCGGCGAUGGACCGAUGCCCGGCCGGCCAGGAACUUGUGUUUCUAUAGUAAAAUACUUACAUACAAAUGUAUUUAAAUGCAAAAUAUUCUUCACUCUAUUACUCUAUAUACACUAUGAAUAACUGUAUAUUAUGUAUAAUUGCAUUAUGUAAAUGUAUGUACUCUAUGUAUAUCUACAUCUUGUAUAAAGAAUAAAGAACAAGUCAGAUCACUAAGUGUGUGCAGCAGAGCACCCUGCUGACUGCUUUUCACCCUUGUGCUGCGGUGCAACCCUCGUGUCUGGACAGUCACCCCAAACACACACACGGGUCCACAUAUCCCCGGCGUGCCCACCAACACCCUCCGUGGGCAGCUUUGGAGGGUGUAGGAUGCCCACAGAAGUGACUUACUACAUAAACAUCACGGUGCAGAGCAGUGCACUUUGCAGGUGACUGUGAUGCUUCAUGCCGUUUUCAGGCAACAGAAAAUAGUUUUUACUGCAUUUGUUUUCAUCACAUGACAAAGUGGACUGAAGGUGUAGGGGAAUCCUUUGCUCAGGGAUUGUGCUAAGUUUACAAGUGUGGGGGCAUGACUGAAUAAUGCCAGGCAGCCCAGCACAGGGGGAGUGUUAUGUCUGUACAAACUAUUCUCCUCACCACACAGGGAGGAGUGUUAUGUCUGUACAAACUAUUCUCCUCACCACACAGGGAGGAGUGUUAUGUCUGUACAAACUGUUCUCCCCGCCACACAGGGAGGAGUCAGAUCAGCAGACAGAUCACUGAGAGGAGAAGGCAGCAGUAUCUGGGGUUUGUGCCUCAGGACACACUACCAUACUGGUCUUGCAGCGAUGACGCUUUGUGUUGGUGUGGAGGGCUUGCUGUCGAGGCACCGAUGAAAGCCUUCAUAUACUUGACAGGUAGUGUGUUAUUUAGUAGAGUUGUUUAACCCCUUUUGAUUGCAAAAGUUUUCUCGGGAGAUCCCCCUUGAACGAAAAAGUUGGCAGAAAAUGAACUUUGAAACUGAGAAAACGUCAUAAAAAAUGUUUAGUAGAAAAUUUUCUGGCCCACCCUGCUAUGAAAUCUGUUUCUUUCUAGGUUGUCGCAUUUGCCUGGAAUUCUAUGAUUCCCCCCAAAAUUACAACUUUUUACUGGUACAACAUUAUCUGUAUAACUCAACUGUGAAAUUAGAUUAUUAUUUGGACAGACCGUUUAGCUGGAAUUCCAUGAUUCCCCAAAAAUUUCAACUUCCGUUUCCCACUACUCUGAACGAGAUAUUGGUUCAUCAAGAACAUCACGUAUAUCAGUGGAGGUGUCAAGACUACGCUUACCACGCACACUACGAGCAGAAACUAAAGGAACACCGCCGAAAAAGGACGGCCGAGGGAACAGAAUCGCUCUAUAGACGCUAUGAUGCGCAGGCAGGAACUGUAGACUAUUUUUAGCACGGAAUGGUGGUAGGGGACGUCACAGAAAUAAAAGAGGUCCCAGUUAGUCAUUAGCAUCGACAGAGACCUAGUUACACGCGCCCUUCAAAUUCCGGAAAGCUUCUCAUUUUCCGACGCUGGCGUCAUGCUCGUUGCCCACGUCUGCUAGAACUAUAUGACGCCAGCGGCAUCAUGAUCAUUAAGGGGUUAAUAAUGUUUUUUGAUAGAGCUGUUUGAUAAUGUGUUGCUUGAUGUUAAGAGUUCAGGCAUAGCACAGACAACCUGAUACUUAUGCUUUACACACUACCAAUGCAGAUCUGUUGUUUAAAGCCAAAACAUGAGGAGAAUCACUACAUCUAUACCACAGGCAGCUUGAUCCUAAUAGACAGUGACUCCUGACGUCUAUAAACUACUCAAUGCCAAUAUAAAUAUCUUUGACUACACAAAUAAUGAUCAUUUCACUUAUAUAUUAUUAUUCUUUCUAGCAUCUAUAAAGUACUCAAUGCCAAUAUAAAGAUGUUUGAUGUCAUGAAAAAUAAAAUCGUUUCACUUAUCAUUAAACUUUCUGGCAUUUAUAAACUACAUCUGAUGCCAAUAUAAAAAGACUGAACGCCAGGAAAAAUAUAAUUAUUUUAGUUAUAUUAUUACACCUUUGGACAUCUAAAAACUACUCAAUGCCAAUAUGAAGAGGUUUAACACCACAAAAUAAAAUCGUUUCACUUAUUAUCACACUGACAUUUAUAAACUACUCAAUGCCAAUAUGAAGAUGUUUGAUGCCAUGUAAAAUAAAAUCGUCUCACUUAUUAUCACAUUGACAUUUAUAAACUACUCAAUGCCAAAUAUGAAGAUGUUUAACACCAUAAAAUAAAAUCGUCUCACUUAUUAUCACACUGACAUUUAUAAACUACUCAAUGCCAAUAUGAACAUGUUUAACACCAUAAAAUAAAAUCGUCUCACUUAUUAUCACACUGACAUUUAUAAACUACUCAAUGCCAAUAUGAACAUGUUUGAUGCCAU